AUUUGUUCAAUAUUGGUUUAUUACAAUUUAAUUUGACUCUAUUAGCAGAGUUUGAGAAUAUUAGCCUGUGUGGUAAAAUAAUAGUUUGAGUACUAGCUAUUGAUGAACCUGUUAAUGUAUUAAUUGUUUGAUCGAUGUGUUAUGUGAAGACCCUGCUAGAGGAGCUGGAUGACAUCAGUCUGAGUGUGGACAGUGUGAGAGACCAGGCCACCCUGAUGACCAGUAGAGGUCCUGCCUGCAGAGAUGUAGUGGAACCCAAACUGGCCAAACUCAACCUAAAUUUCCACAUGGUCUCCCAGUGCAUCAAAGCUGCCAUGGAGAUGAGGAUGCUGAGAGUGAGACAGGUGGAGAUCUCCAUGGACUCUUCUUCUUUAUACAGCUUCACAGAGACACAAAGACAGGACCUGACUGGAGAAGUCAGAGACGUUCUUUCAUUAUCAUUACACAUGGAGCCAGAGGAGAGGGCGUCCUCUCUCAGUCCUUCAGACUAUCUGCUGGAUAUAAACAAGGUUCUGCUGGCCUUGGCCGACAACGAACUGCUGCUCAACUCUUUCGAGCUCAGCAGUGGUCUCUACAAUGACUUCUCCAGCCAGGGGGUGGAGGAGUAUAAAGGAGAGUCUGGAGUAUGUCCGGGAGCAGGUGACGUUGAUCCAUGAGCGCCAUCCUGGAGGCAUCGCAGAGAUAGGUGGCACAGAUCAGAGACACCCUCACCCAGCUCAAACCAGAGUGGGACCGCCUAAACUGCAUGUACAAGCACCGCAAAGGGGAGUUCCAUCUACAACUGACCUAUCCUGGGUACAUGAAUAAAUGUCUUCUAUCAGCUAUGGACGACAGAGGAGCGAGGAUGGAGAUAUAUGCCAGUGCACGAGUUUUGACUGUGCAGUGGAGGAGUGGAGACAGUUCCACUGUGACUUGAACGACCUAAGUCAGUGGAUGACCGACACGGAACAGGUCCUCACUAAGGGAAAAGGACCUGAUGGACAACUGCACCCGGACACAGCCAGGACACACCAGGAGGUCAGGGAGUGUGUGUUUCUGUGUGUGUGUGCUGUGUGUGUGUGUGAGAGUUAAUGUUAGACCGUGUGUGUGUGUGUGUGUGUGUGUGUGUGUGUGUGUGUGUGUGUGUGUGUGUGCGCUCGUGCCCAAGUGUGUGCGCUCGUGCCCAAGUGUGUGCGCUCGUGCCCAAGUGUAUAUGCUGCUAACCUACCCACUUUAAUGAUGACCCUGACAUUAUGCAGAGAUAGUACGCAAAAUGUUGGAUCAACUGUAUGCGGAUGGGGGGUUUUGGUGUGAGAAAAUGUAUGUUUUUGAAUGUGAAAAAUAUGCCUUCUCUCCUUAAUUAUUUAGCACUUUUCAUGCUCUGUCGUUCAUUAUAUUCCUGCAGAGAGAAGGAGAGAGAAAGAGAGAGAGAGUUUUCUAAUUUGUAUUGUUUGCAAUACUAAAGAGUACCAGGCUUUCCCCUGAGGGGAAAAGCUGUUUGAAAGCCAGGCAUUGACACCCACAGAAUUAAAUAGAACAAUACUAUUAGUAUUAUAUAGUAUCUUUAUGUUUACACCACUCACAUCAUCAUUAGGAUGUGGAGCAGCCAGCACUAGUUACCAUAGAGUACAAUCUAUCCAAUACCUAUAGUUGCAAUCCGUUAUUCAUAGCAGCUCAAUUCCAAUUGAUUUAUUUUACCUUUAUUUGACUAGGCAAGUCAGUUAAGAACAAAUUCUUAUUUACAAUGAUGGCCUAAGAACAGUGAGUUAACUGCCUUUUUCAGAUGUUGACCUUGUGAGCUCGGGGAUUCAAUCUAGCAACCUUUUGGUUACUGGCCCAACGUUUUAACCACUAGGCUACCUGCCGCCCCCAAUUGACUCAUUCUGUUGAUUAAUACAACUUUGAUUUCUAGUUUUAUAUUGAUCUGUUAGCCCCUCUCUCUCUUUGUAGCUGGAGGAGGGCCUAGCCAGUCACCAGCCUGUCCUGGCCGCGUUGACUCAGACAGUUGAGAGGAUCAUCGUGCAGCUGUCAGCCCCUGACGGGCCCCUGCAAGAGAACAAGCUGGAGGCCCUGGGGCAGCGCUGUAGAGCCGUGCACAGAAAGGCUGACUGGAAGUGACCCUGCCCUAUUAGAGCUGGUGAGGUAGUGGAGACCUGGCUCUGUGGCUGGAGCAGGCUGAAUGUGCUGUGAGCUCUCUGCCCGUCACUGCCACCAACAGCAACCUCAAAGAACUUAAGACUCUGGCUGAAGAGAUGGACAUCCAGAAUGAGUGUCUUGGUUGGCUGAACAAGAACGGCCCCCAGAUUCUAGCCAAUCAGAGCGUGAGUCAUCAGGAGAGAGACAAGCACAUGAGCAAACUCAGGACCAUCAAUCUCAACUGGAACAAGUUGUUAGAUAAAGUCGGUGGAGGCGGAGGGGAACCUCCAGAGUCAUGGUCAGUUCCAGGACAAGAUUAACAGAAUGACCGACUGCGUCCAGGUCACACACCAGACCUCAGUGGGAGAGGGGUCAGCCCUGCAGAGAGCCAGAAGUACAGAUGGCCAGUCUGAUGAGUGACCACCACCCGCAGUCCAGAGCUGGUGGCCCCCACAGACCCGAACAAGACAGCCACAGAGCUGGUUGACUGGCUGCUGCGCAUCACCCAGAUGCUUAAGUCCAACAUCGUUACGUGGAGAAAGUGUAUAGCCAAUGGGACAACACUCAGCAAGGUGUGGAGGCGUGACUCCAGCAGCUGGAUAACAUGAUUGGCCACAGCGAUCAGUGGGAGAAGCAGAGACAGGAACUGAAUGCUCUGAAUGGUCAGAACAUGGGCACCUGCACAACCUUCACCUCUCCAGGGAACCCCUGACCAUACAGCUCAGUGACAACAAGAUGAGAGAUACAGCGACCCUUCCCCUUUGACCUUUGGACUACUGAUACUCGGCCCCAUUAGCCAGAUGGGUGGAAUGGCUUCUAAUCAAUGAUAAAGGACCUUGGAAGAGGUCAGGGUACCGUGGCAACCUUUAACGAGCUGUCCAAUCAGCUCCUGCGAGAGUAUUCCGCUGACGACACAAGGAGGAUCAAAGAUAUCACAGAGAAAAACAACAUAGCCUGGAACUGCAUCAACAAGAGGGCUAGUGACCACCAGGCCAAGCUGGACAGUGGCCUGAAUGCUCUGCAGAUGUCCCUCAGCGAGCUGGAGGCCUUUCUUAAGUGGCUGCAGGAGGCAGAGACUACCGUCAACGUCCUGGCUGACGUCUCCCAGAGGGAGGAGCUAUCCCAGGACUCUGCCCACGUCAAGAAGCUGAGAGGGCAACUGGAGUUAGGCCACGGCCCUUUGAUCUGCUGAUUGUUUGUAGGUUAGUCUCACUUGAAGGAGCAUUGAUGCUCUAAAAACAGCCUGGUCAUACAUGGUCUUCUACGUGGGCUCUUUUCUCCAUCUCUGUUUACACCAAUAGGACGCCCACGUCAUUGUCAUUUCAAAUUGACGUUUCUGGAAAUUGAUUUUUUUCUCCAUUCUACCCUCUACCCCUUCUUAUCCUCUCUCCCCCUUCUCCUCCUUCCAGUGGUGUGAAGUAAAUGCUUUAAAGUACUACUUAAGUUGUUUUUUGGGGUAUCUGUACUUUACUAUUUAUAUUUUGGAUAACUUUUACUUUUACUUCACUAAAUUCCAAAAGAUAAUGAUGUACUCCUUACUCCAUACAUUUUCCAUGACACCCAAAAGUACUCGUUACAUUUUGAAUGCUAUGCAGGACAGAAAUGGUCCGAUUCACACACUUAUCAAGAGAACAUCCCAGGUCAUCUCUACUGCCUCUGAUCUGGCAGACUCACUAAACACAAAUGCUUUGUUUCUGAAUGAUGUCUGAAGUUGAUGACGACCGAGGUCGGAGUGCAUGCGCCCAGCGCACCGCAAGGAGUCGCUAGAGCGCGAUGGGACAAGGACAUCCCGGCCGGCCAAACCCUCCCCUAAUCCGGAUGAUGCUGAGCCAGGUAGCCUAGUGGUUAGAGCAUUGGGCCAGUAACCGAAAGUUUGCUGAUUCGAAUCCCCGAGCUGACAAAGUAAAAAUCUAUCAUUCUGCCCCUGAGCAAAGCAGUUAACCCACUGUUCCCUGGGCGCCGAAGACGUGGAUGUCAAUUAAGGCAGCCCUCCGCACAUCUCUGAUUCAGAGGGGUUGGGUUAAAUGUGUAAAACACAUUUCAGUUGAAU
rnacentral:lncRNA from 1 species